rfam:Ovis aries breed Texel chromosome 5, whole genome shotgun sequence.
UCCCUGGUGGUCUAGUGGCUGAGACGCUGCACUCCCAAUGCAGGGGAUGGAGCUUCAAUUCCUAGUCAGGGAA